GAACUCGACAUCAAGAUAGUGAUGGUUGCAAAUCUUGGCACAUGACUGCCAGACCUCCAAGACAAAGGUGAGCGCAAGCCAACCAGAAGUGUGCAAAAAUUUUGCAAAGCCACGACCAGAAGCCGAAGGAGUUCGCAAGGCUCAAUUUACCAUGGUGGCCCGAGAAGAUUGCGGAUUGCAAUGCUGAGAAGAUUAAGCUUGUAAAUCUGUCAGCAAUUGUUGGCCCCAAAAGCUUCCGACACAUUACCGCAAGCACUUGCUAACAACUAUGGCAAUCUGCAAUCUGCAAUCUGGACUUGGGACGCGAAUAAAGGAUUAUGAUGAUCCCGUGGAAUGUUCGUUCACUUUGCUUGCAUCUAACCUAUACAGUAGGUUUGUAAAAAGAUACUUUCUCUCCAGUAAAAGUGCUUCCUUACCAUGUCUUCCAUAACUAAUCACAGACAAGGUAGUGUUGCUCCAAGUUGAACCGAAGGUUUUUUCCUGAAAAAAGGGCAAUCAAUCGAUGAAAAAGGUUCUUGAAUUUUCCCAUUUAUCGAUGGUUCUAAUGGUUCUCCAAAGCCGAUGCCGACAUCAAAUCAAGACUAGCCCGAAAAGGAAGUGGAAUCAAUAUACUCCAAUUCUCCAUAAAUGGAAAUCAUCAAAUGUGACUCGGCAAUUUCUUAAGGAAAUGAGAAUACAGUAUUGUAGUAGAUAUUGCAGCCCAUUCCAAAAAUAUGAAACCUAAACCACUCCACCUUAAGAUUAGAAUACUUAAGUUCACACGGCACUGCUUUGC